rnacentral:rRNA from 1 species
CGGGGAGCACCACAACAGGUGGAGCCUGCGGUUUAAUCGGACUCAACGCCGGGAAGCUCACCGGAUAAGACAGCGGAAUGGUAGCCGGGCUGAAGACUCUGCUUGACUAGCUGAGAGGAGGUGCAUGGCCGUCGUCAGUUCGUACUGUGAAGCAUCCUGUUAAGUCAGGCAACGAGCGAGACCCACGCCAACAGUUGCCAGCAUGUCCUCCGGGAUGGUGGGGACACUGUUGGGACCGCCUCUGCUAAAGAGGAGGAAGGAAUGGGCAACGGUAGGUCAGCAUGCCCCGAAUUAUCCGGGCUACACGCGGGCUACAAUGGUCAGGACAAUGGGCAUCAACACCGAAAGGUGAAGGCAAUCUCUUAAACCUGUCCUUAGUUCGGAUUGUGGGCUGCAACUCGCCCACAUGAAGCUGGAAUCUGUAGUAAUCGCGUCUCAAAAUGGCGCGGUGAAUAUGUCCCUGCUCCUU